rnacentral:lncRNA from 1 species
AGGGGAAGGAGCGAAGAUGGCGGAGUGAGGCGUGCCCCGGGCAGCUGGCCUGCGGGCCCGGGGCAGGCCUCCCGUGAGAAGCGGAGUACUUGUGCUGGACCGUGUGAGCUAAAUUCUCGGAAAGUCUUUGCUUCUGAAUUCUGGAUCGGGGAGACAUUUGCUGCGUGUGUUGGUGCUCAGGGCCAGAAAUUUACAUCUAUCAAAACCUUGUUUCAGAAAUAAACUGGCAUAUUAGUGAGAGCCAGUUCAAAUGGAAAAAUCAUAAUGAACCAUAUCACACAAGAUGAAUAUUUUCCUGACCUUAGGUGCUUUUAUAUUCAGCUCAACAUUCUGAACUCAGGACUUGGCACGUAAGUAGAUAGAGAUAAUCAUCCCAAGUCCUGUUGUAGCGGCUUGAAAGGCUCCAUAGAAGCGACAUACUAAACUGUUAAGAGCAACAGAAGAUGAAGAUAAAAAUGAGUACAAGCCAGCUACCAUGGCUCACCUUUAUGCCCAGCUCUUGGGACCUGGGGAACUGAGGAAUUCCUAUGUGGACUGCUCAGUGAGGCGUCCUGGUUCUUCCAUCCUGUUACUUUCCCCAGUGAGAUGCAGAUGUCUUUCGACAGAUUACCUCCAUGGUUUAGGAUGCAGAGACUGCCUUUCUUUUACGUCAGACUCAACACAGGAAAGCCGUGAGGAUGCAGCCGUCCUGUUGACUUCAGCAAGAAAACAAACCAUGGACUUGGGUCUUCUGCAGCUUUUGAAUUGGAAAGACGGUGUUUGCAAGUAGAAGGAAGAUGCUGAAUUUGAAACAAGUGCUUAGGUUCUGUGGCGUGAGUUGUUUUCUUUUUAAAAGAUCCAAACAAGAAGACUGAACAAAUACCAAGUGUGGGUGACUUCAGGUUUUUUUUUUAAUGUCUUCCAAUUUUAACACUAUUAUAAGCACAGUUGACCGCAGUAAGUUCCAAAUAUUUAAUAUAAUUUGAAGUGAAAGAAAUGUUAUCUAAAUUCUGGCUCACUCUUUGACAGUUUUCCUGGACAAAAACAAGAUACGAUAAAAGCAGAAACCAGGUUUGAUUUUGUAUGGGAGUGAAAUCAUUACAGUUUUAUGGGUAUAAAUCUACAUUUUUAAACAAGAUUUUUCUCUUGGAGAAGAAACCUGUUGUUUAUAAGAAGGCUUUGGACAGUUUAAUAGUCUUAAAUGUUCUGCUUUGCUGUUCUAGUCCUUCUCAGGAAGGCCCAGCUGGGCCUGUGGCUAGUUCAGAAUGGGAGGAAACAUAGGCUGGGACAAUGCUCACCCUGAACUGCCAGCGUGUGGGAGGCCAAGGCAGGAAGAGCAGAUGUUCAGGGCCAGCUUGGACAUCAAGAGGCUCAAAACCAGUAGGAAAAAAAACAGAGCCCAGUAACACCCUCUUUUAUAUUCCUUUUGUGGAAUCAUGUAGCAUGUGAGACUGGGUUGGAAGGGAACUGGCAUAUGUGGUAUUUCAGUUAAGGUGAUGUGGUGGACCCUGAUGUGUAACUGGCCUUCACCUUUGGACAUACAGGAAUGAAGGAAAAACUAAAGCUUGGCAUAUAAAUCUUUUCUUCUAAGAAAAAGAAGCAAAGCUGUCUAAUGUAGCAUUGUCUGACUUUUCAACAUUUUUACUUUAUGUGGUUGCAUUUUUUUAUAAAAGUAUAAAUAAGUUCCUUCAACCCAAAA